AACUGUCAAUUUUUUCAAUGGGUUGAAGAAGAAAACCAACUUUCUAAUUCGUCUUCUGUCUCAAGAGAAACAAUGGUAGUGGCUGAUUUGAGGCUACAAAUUGAAGCUUUGUAGAAGAAAAUGAGAAAUUUAACAAACAUUGUGUUGUUAGGUUUUUCAUUUUUAAUUGUAAUGUUAGUUUUAGGGGGAAUGUAUUUUAGGUAAAAUGUGUAAUAG
rnacentral:lncRNA from 1 species